GCGAGUACAGCAUACCAAUUUCGAGCCCUAAUCAUUUGAAUUGGCAAAAACUGUACUCUCUAUACUCGCUCCCAAAUAUUCACUGCUCAUCACUCUUCUUUGCUGUGAUCAUCACAAUUCUCUACUCGCACCGCAUAAUAAUGACCAAUUAUGAACGGACGUGUUUCAGGCACAAGGUUGACUACCUGGAUUGGAGGAACACAUCUUACCUCAAUGGUAAUUGACCUUGAGCAUCCAUCAGGCGAUCAGCACAAGGAGAAAGAAGACUGUGGGCACCAUAUAUGUGGAGCUACUGCCACUGCUUCAAAGAGUGUUUGCCUGGACAGAGGGAAUGCAGGACCUAGUUGGAAUGAAGGAACAUCUAAUGGCACCUAUAUAUUGCCAAAUGCAGAUUCUUUGGCUGUGAAUUGCUACAGAGGUUUGGAGCCACAUGAUGGUAUGGAAUUCGAUUCGAAGGAGGAUGCCUUUUCGUUUUACAAAGAAUAUGCUAAGUCCAUCGGAUUUUUCUCAAUAAUAAAGGCUAGCCGUCGUUCAAGAAUUUCUGGAAUAUUUAUUGAUGCAAAAUUUGUUUGCAGUAGGUAUGGAAGUAAGCAAGAACCUUCUACGUCCGUUACAGAACCUGUUCCAAGUGCUGAUGGCGCAGGAAGUAUUCCUGUGAGGAGAAAAAAGGGUAGAAUAAACAGGUCUUGGUCAAAAACAGAUUGUAAGGCUUGCUUGCAUGUAAAGAGAAGGUCUGAUGGAAGGUGGAUUAUUCGUACUUUUGUCAAAGAGCAUAACCAUGAGACAUUUCCAGAUCGGACCAACUACCUUCGAGGUCAUAGGAAUACUGAUUUGGGUAAGAAUGGUGCAGAUGCAUUUCAUUCUAUCUGUGGGAGGACGAAAAAGACUUAUGUGACAAUGUCUAGGCAAUCUGGUGUGAUGAAGAAAGUUGAGAAGCAAAAGAAUGUUGGCACAAAGAGCAGUCCUCAAUCUUUGGCUUUAGAUGAGGGAGAUGCACAAGUUAUGCUUGAGCAUUUUCUUUACAUGCAAGAUGAAAAUCCAAACUUCUUUUAUGCAAUGGAUUUGAAUCAAGAGCAACGCUUGAGAAAUGUAUUUUGGGUUGAUGCUAAAGGAAGGAUUGACUAUAGUAACUUCAGUGACGUAGUUCUUGUUGACACUACAUAUAUAAAAAACGAUUAUAAGUUGCGCUUCGUUCCUUUUAUUGGUGUUAAUCAUCAUUGUCAGUCCAUAUUGCUUGGGUGUGGGCUGAUUGCCAAUGAGAGUAAGUCGACAUUUGUUUGGUUGAUGCGAGCAUGGCUUAGGGCAAUGGGUGGACAAGCUCCAAAAGUUAUACUGACUGAUCAAGACAAUACAUUGGAAGAAGUUAUUGCUGAGGUUUUACCAGAUUGCUGCCAUUGCUUUUGUUUGUGGCACGUACUGAGUAAUAUCCAGGAGAAGCUUGGUCAUGUCAUUAGGCAGCAUGAAGAUUUUCUCUCCAAAUUUAAUAAAUGCAUUUUGAGGUCUGCGACCAAUGAAUUGUUUGAAAAGAGGUGGUGGAAGGUGGUUGAUAGAUUUGAUUUGAGGAAUGACUUGUGGAUUAAAUCAUUGUACAAAGAUCGCCUAAGGUGGGUACCAACAUUCAUGAAUAAUAUCUUCUUGGCAGGAAUGUCUACAAUGCAACGGUCGGAAAGCGUGAGCUCUCUUUUGGAGAAGUGCAUGUUAUGCAGGACGACACUGAAGGAGUUUCUUGACCAGUAUAAGAAACUGCUGCGAGAGAAAUGUCAAGAAGAGGCAAGUGCUGAUUCUGAGACGAGGCAUAAACAACCAGGACUGAAAUCUCCCUCCCCUUUUGAAAAGCAGAUGUCAACUUUAUACACUCAUACAAUAUUCAAGAAAUUCCAAGCCCAGGUUUUGGGAGUGGUUGCAUGUCACCCUAAAAAAGAAAGUGAUGAUGGUGCAGCUGCCACAUAUAGAGUCCAAGAUUUUGAAGAAAAUCAAGAAUUCGUUGUUGUAUGGAGUGAGAAGACAUCUGAUGCAUCAUGUUCUUGUCAUUUGUUCGAGUAUAAUGGAUUUCUUUGUAGACACGUGAUGAUAGUUCUUCAAAUGGCUGGUGUGCAUAACAUCCCCUCUAAAUAUAUUUUAAGUCGCUGGACUAAAGGUGCAAAGAGUAGAGAGAAGAUGAGAGAAGUAAAUUUGGUUGAUUCUAGGGUUCAACGAUAUAAUGAUCUAUGUCAAAGGGCAUUUGAGCUAGGCGAUGAAGGGUCACUAUCUCAAGAGAGUUAUAAUAUUGUAUUCAAUGCACUGGAAAAUUUUCUGAGAAGAUGUGAGGCUGUGAAUGAUCCAAAUUUAAAUGAGUCAGAACCUUGUUUUCCCACAAAUCAAGUAUUCAUAGAUGGUAACAACCCAAGCAAGAGUAACGGAAAGAACAUAGCAAGGAAAGAGAAGGGGCAAUCAGGUUUGGGAGAACCGACUGUUGAUUAUCCUUUUCAAUCGCAUUCAGCCAUGCAGCCAAUGGGCCAAAUAAACGCUAGAUUUCCAGCUCCUGGUGGCUACUAUAGCAGCCCCCAAAUUAUUCAAGGAGUGGGACAAUUGAAUACAAAUAUCCAAGCUUAUGGCAACCAACCAAACAUGCCGGGGCUGGUGAUUAAUUUAAGAACUCCAAGCACUGAUGUAUUCUAUGAUUUCUGGUGUUAUCUCAAACUAACAAUUCGGUUGGCUUUGUUCUUUUCUAGGGACAGUUGAAUACAAUUGCUUCAAUUGCAGAUUGCCCUUAUCUCUCUCAACCUACAUUCCAUGGACUGGGAUAAAUGUAUUUUAGGCCAGCAGUUGCUCAAAGUUCUUUUGGUGUUCAGAACAGUUUGCAGGAGGUGGGUAUACCUUAUGCUCAUUUUGCCUUGUAUCUCUCUUCUUGUUUUACCACCAUUUUGUACAAUAUACUUAAUUUCUUCCCGUUUUUCGGUUCAAUCAUCAGUCUAGCAUGGCUAAUACACAGAUGCUGCGCUUGGCCAUGGCGAACAAAAAUUAGGAAUAUUUGGUUUUUCUUCAUUAUCACAAGAACUUAUGAGAAUUUGUUGCUUUCUUUGUGCAAAUGCACAAAUAAUUUGGCAUGUAUUUUUAUCAUGAAUCUUGUGGCUUCUAAUAGUAAUUAAUUUGACAUUUACCCUUUA